rnacentral:rRNA from 1 species
GUGCUUACACAUGCAAGUCGAGCGAUGAAGUUUCUUCGGAAAUGAAUUAGCGGCGAACGGGUGAGGAACACGUGAAGAAUCUGCCCUCCACUUUGGGAUAACACCGGGAAACCGGUGCUAAUACUGAAUAUUGAAACAUAAGUGGCAUCACUGAGUUUUGAAAGAAUUUCGGUGGAGGAUGACUUCGCGGCCUAUCAGCUAGUUGGUGAGGUAAUGGCUCACCAAGGCAACGACGGGUAGCCGGCCUGAGAGGGCGACCGGCCACACUGGGACUGAGACACGGCCCAGACUCCUACGGGAGGCAGCAGUGGGGAAUAUUGGGCAAUGGAGGAAACUCUGACCCAGCGACGCCGCGUGCGGGAUGAAGGCCUUCGGGUUGUAAACCGCUUUCAGUAGGGAAGAAGCGAAAGUGACGGUACCUACAAAAGAAGCACCGGCUAACUAUGUGCCAGCAGCCGCGGUAAUACAUAGGGUGCAAGCGUUGUCCGGAAUUAUUGGGCGUAAAGAGCUCGUAGGUCGUUUGUCGCGUCGAUUGUGAAAAUCUGAGGCUCAACCUCAGACCUGCAGUCGAUACGGGCAAACUAGAGUGUGGUAGGGGAGACUGGAAUUCCUGGUGUAGCGGUGGAAUGCGCAGAUAUCAGGAGGAAC